CCAGUCAGACACCUAGAGGGGAAACAUCCUUGUCAGGUGUUGGCUAUAACAGGGGCUAUAACAGGGGUGAUACAGUUUCUGGUCAGGUGUUGGGCUAUAACAGGGGCUAUAACACGGGUGAUACAGUUUCUGGUCAGGUGUUGGGCUAUAACAGGGGCUAUAACACGGGUGAUACAGUUUAUCUGGUCAGGUGUUGGGCUAUAACAGGGGCUAUAACACGGGUGAUACAGUUUAUCUGGUCAGGUGCUGGGCUGUAACAGGGGCUAUAACAGGGGUGAUACAGUAUAUCUGGUCAGGUGUUGGCUAUAACAGGGGUGAUACAGUUUAUCUGGUCAGGUGUUGGGCUAUAACAGGGGCUAUAACACGGGUGAUACAGUUUAUCUGGUCAGGUGCUGGGCUGUAACAGGGGCUAUAACAGGGGUGAUACAGUUUAUCUGGUCAGGUGUUGGGCUAUAACAGGGGCUAUAACAGGGGUGAUACAGUUUAUCUGGUCAGGUGUUGGGCUAUAACAGGGGCUAUAACAGGGGUGAUACAGUAUAUCUGGUCAGGUGCUGGGCUAUAACAGGGGCUAUAACAGGGGUGAUACAGUUUCUGGUCAGGUGUUGGGCUAUAACGGGGGUUUUACAGUUUCUGGUCAGGUGCUGGGCUAUAACAGGGGCUAUAACAGGGGUGAGACAGUUUAUCUGGUCAGGUGUUGGCUAUAACAGGGGUGAUACAGUUUAUCUGGUCAGGUGUUGGGCUAUAACAGGGGUGAUACAGUUUAUCUGGUCAGGUGUUGGGCUAUAACAGGGGCUAUAACAGGGGUGAUACAGUAUAUCUGGUCAGGUGUUGGGCUAUAACAGGGGUGAUACAGUUUAUCUGGUCAGGUGCUGGGCUAUAACAGGGGCUAUAACAGGGGCUAUAACAGGG
rnacentral:lncRNA from 1 species